rnacentral:rRNA from 1 species
AUACGUAGGUGGCAAGCGUUAUCCGGAUUUAUUGGGCGUAAAGCGAGUGCAGGCGGUUUUAUAAGUCUGAUGUGAAAGCCCUCGGCUCAACCGAGGAACUGCAUCAGAAACUGUGAGACUUGAGUGCAGAAGAGGAGAGUGGAACUCCAUGUGUAGCGGUGGAAUGCGUAGAUAUAUGGAAGAACACCAGUGGCGAAGGCGGCUCUCUGGUCUGUAACUGACGCUGAGGCUCGAAAGCAUGGGUAGCGAACAGGAUUAGAUACCCUGGUAGUCCAUGCCGUAAACGAUGAGUGCUAAGUGUUGGGGGGUUUCCGCCCCUCAGUGCUGCAGCUAACGCAUUAAGCACUCCGCCUGGGGAGUACGACCGCAAGGUUGAA